rfam:Schistosoma curassoni strain Dakar, Senegal genome assembly, scaffold: SCTD_scaffold0003850
GUCCAGCUGACGAAUCCCAAAUAGGACGAAGCGCACAUCCUGGAC